AGAGAGUUGACCGAGUCUGGUUUAUGGUGGUAAGUUUGAAUUUUAUUUGGCUAGUCAUAGUCACAUCCGUUCGAAUCGGAUAUUCUCUG
rnacentral:tRNA from 3 species